CCUACGGGAGGCAGCAGUGGGGAAUAUUGGGCAAUGGGCGCAAGCCUGACCCAGCAACGCCGCGUGAAGGAAGAAGGCUUUCGGGUUGUAAACUUCUUUUGACAGGGAAGAGUAGAAGACGGUACCUGUCGAAUAAGCCACGGCUAACUACGUGCCAGCAGCCGCGGUAAUACGUAGGUGGCAAGCGUUGUCCGGAUUUACUGGGUGUAAAGGGCGUGUAGCCGGGUUGACAAGUCAGAUGUGAAAUCCUGCGGCUUAACCGCAGAACUGCAUUUGAUACUGUUGAUCUUGAGUACUGGAGAGGCAGGCGGAAUUCCUAGUGUAGCGGUGAAAUGCGUAGAUAUUAGGAGGAACACCAGUGGCGAAGGCAGUCUGCUGGACAGCAACUGACGGUGAGGCGCGAAAGCGUGGGGAGCAAACAGGAUUAGAUACCCGAGUAGUC
rnacentral:rRNA from 1 species